GUUGAAACACCAGUUCUCGUAUGUUCACCAAAGCUAAGCAAUGUUGAGCCUGGUCAGUACCUGGAUGGGUGACCGUUUGAGAAUACCAGGUGCUGUAAG